rnacentral:tRNA from 1 species
GCCUGGCUGGCUCAGUCGGUAGAGCAUGUGGCUCAUGAUCUCAGGGCCGUGAGUUCGAGCCCCACACGGGGUA